rnacentral:rRNA from 1 species
AUUGAACGCUGGCGGCAUGCUUUACACAUGCAAGUCGAACGGUAACAGGCCUUCGGGUGCUGACGAGUGGCGAACGGGUGAGUAAUGCAUCGGAACAUGCCCAGAGGUGGGGGAUAACGCAGCGAAAGCUGUGCUAAUACCGCAUGUGAUCUGAGGAUGAAAGCGGGGGACCAAGCAGCAAUGUUUGGCCUCGCGCCUCUGGAGCGGCCGAUGUCAGAUUAGGUAGUUGGUGGGGUAAAGGCCUACCAAGCCGACGAUCUGUAGCUGGUCUGAGAGGACGACCAGCCACACUGGGACUGAGACACGGCCCAGACUCCUACGGGAGGCAGCAGUGGGGAAUUUUGGACAAUGGGCGCAAGCCUGAUCCAGCAAUGCCGCGUGCGGGAAGAAGGCCUUCGGGUUGUAAACCGCUUUUGUACGGAACGAAAAGGCUCUGGCUAAUACCUGGGGCUGAUGACGGUACCGUAAGAAUAAGCACCGGCUAACUACGUG